AUGAAUUUUCAGGUGCAGAUUUUCAACUUCCUGCUAAUCAGUUUCACACUGUCCAGUGGAGAAAUUGUGCUCACUCAGUCUCCAACAACCAUGGCUGCAUCUCUGGGGGAGAAGGUCACCAUCACCUGCAGUGCCAGCUCAAGUGUAAAUUACAUGCACUGGUACCAGCAGAAGUCAGGCACUUCCCCCAAACUCUUGAUUUAUUACACAUCAAGCCUGGCUUCUGGAGUCCCAGAUCGCUUCAGUGGCAGUGGUUCUGGGACCACUUAUUUGCUCAGAAUCAGCACCAUGGAGACAGAAGAUGCUGCCACUUAUUACUGCCAGUAUUGGAGUAGUAGCCAGUCCACACAGUAA